rnacentral:rRNA from 1 species
UACGUAGGGUGCGAGCGUUAAUCGGAAUUACUGGGCGUAAAGCGUGCGCAGGCGGUUUUGUAAGCCAGAUGUGAAAGCCCCGGGCUUAACCUGGGAAUGGCAUUUGGGACUGCAAGGCUUGAGUGCGGCAGAGGAGACUGGAAUUCCUGGUGUAGCAGUGAAAUGCGUAGAUAUCAGGAGGAAUACCGAUGGCGAAGGCAGGUCUCUGGGCUGACACUGACGCUCAUGCACGAAAGCGUGGGGAGCAAACGAGGAUAGAACCCGUGUGAGAUCCG